ACAUUUGCCCCUGUGCAUUUCAGGUAUUUUAGUAUACUAUUCUUUUCACACCGACUUUAGUCGUGUUCUAUGUUAUCUUUUUCCUUCUUUUCUUCUGUGCUUAAUGUUUGGAUGUUAUAGAUCUUGAUUAUAAUUUGUCAAAUCUUGAAACUUUGGCCUAUUCGAGAAGGGUUGCCCUAAGUAGAGACCCAAGAGGGCUGCCCCAGGGAACGUCAGUUUUUCCUUGAAAUUGAACUAAGCCUAAGUUGUCAAGACUGCUUUUAGGGGUGAAUUUUGUUUCUAACAACGUGUUUGAGUUCUUGACCUCUGUCAAUGUUCAUGUAGACUUACUGGGACUCCCAAAUUCUUAGCUUUAAGAUCUGAUAUUUAAGGUUUUCACAUGCAGAAGCUUGUCAAAGUAAUUUAUGCCUUACCUUGAACCCAAGUGCUUAAGUUCAGGUAUUAAUAUCCUUCCAGUGUAUGGGGAAGGCUGAAUACAUUUAAUUGUUUCCAGCGGUCAUUCUUAUCAUUUCCAGUGGUCAUUCAUAUUAGGAACUAGGAUACCCAUUUGUAUCACACUGUGUUGUUUUGGCCAAGUUUUUCUCUUUGUGGGUUAUAUGCUUAGAAUUGGGAAUAACUAAUACCUUCUACAUCACAGAGGCGGAGACUGGAGGACAGGGGGAAGCUGUCACUUGGAGACAUUGCCUGAGCUUGGUUCAUCAUUGGUGCCAUCUGAAACCUGGGCUCAAUACAAAAUAUUUGCUGAUGUGCUAUCAGCUUACUCAAACCAAGAAUUAAAAUUUG
rnacentral:misc_RNA from 1 species